UGUAUCACGGGGUCAAUAAAGAUUGAGGAAUCCCCAAGAUCUGAUAUCCGAGGAGGAAAAAAUUGAUCCAUUCGUAGAAACGCAUUGAGACAGUCAACGUACCACCAACCACCCAAAAGAAAUCAAAGCCAACCUCCCCUAACCCCACUAAUCUAGCAAGGUUAUGAUUGAAAUCCACUUUUAUUGUAAAAUUAAAAUAAAGCACAGCCAAAAAACUAGGCACAAAAUAAAAAUAAAAAAAUUGAAAAACAAACAACAUAUCCUCAUACACCCCACUACCCACUAGCGGCACCAGCCCCCGAUUCAAACCCAAAGCUUCAAACCCCAACGACUACACAUCCCACCAGCGUGUAGGCUUCGAGCGCCGUCUCACCCAAGUGGAUCAGAUCCUGGCCACCCUCACAAGACAGCCACGAACCGAGAUUACCAUAGAAGAAGAAGACCAGGCCAGAGGAGGAGCGGUGAAGAGGUUGUUGCGGAGUCAAUAAUUGUAUCUUGGCUGAAGACUUGCCGAAGCCCGGAGGCAGACCAGCGAAUCCCCGACCGAGAGGAAGCUAUGAGGCGACGGCUAGGGUUUCGUAAUACCCUAUGCUAGAGAUAAUAAGUAUAAGAGAGUUUUUUACGAAUAGAAAGGUCCAGAUUUACAUAUAUAUCUCUGUCUCAUUGUAACUUUUGGAACAUGGAAUGUUGAGUGUACUAGGGGACUCAUUGAAAAAGAAGAGAAAUAAAGCCAAGCAAAGGGCAUGCAUGCCAAACUCCCAUCACCAUCACCACCACCACCAUCAUCAUCAUCAUCGUCCAAAUUGAUAUAAACCCUAAAACAACUGGGAUGAUUUUCUUCUUCCAAUUUCUCCAUAAAAGAGAAAAUGAGAGUCUCCUAGCAAGCUAUGGAUAAUGUCGAUCUGUGUGUGUGUGUGUGUGAAAAAGAGGGGUGUAGUGUAAUCGUGUCACGGGAAUGUGGUGUGUCAUUAACAUUAUUAACAGUAAAAAAGAAAAGAAAAGAAAAUUUGAACGUGGUCCAUGCAAGUCUAUUUAGGAGUGGGCUCAAGUAGAUUGCACGCGUCCUUAGAGUUUGGCAAGAGUGAGAGAGAGACAGAAUUAAAAACGACGAAAACUACUUCUCUUCUUAUUUGCUUCUUUUAUUGUCGUCAUUCAUUACGCCUCUUAAACCCUUAAACCUACUGCUUCUCCUCUCUAGAGUGGGCUCUUUAUAUAAAUAUAUAUAUAGAUAUAUGUACAUGUUAAUGUUCA